rnacentral:rRNA from 1 species
GAUGAACGCUGGCGGCGUGCCUAAUACAUGCAAGUCGAGCGAGCAGAUGAGGAGCUUGCUCCUCUGACGUUAGCGGCGGACGGGUGAGUAACACGUGGAUAACCUACCUAUAAGACUGGGAUAACUUCGGGAAACCGGAGCUAAUACCGGAUAUUAUAUUGAACCGCAUGGUUCAAUAGUGAAAGACGGUUUUGCUGUCACUUAUAGAUGGAUCCGCGCCGCAUUAGCUAGUUGUUAAGGUAACGGCUUACCAAGGCAACGAUGCGUAGCCGACCUGAGAGGGUGAUCGGCCACACUGGAACUGAGACACGGUCCAGACUCCUACGGGAGGCAGCAGUAGGGAAUCUUCCGCAAUGGGCGAAAGCCUGACGGAGCAACGCCGCGUGAGUGAUGAAGGUCUUCGGAUCGUAAAACUCUGUUAUUAGGGAAGAACAAAUGUGUAAGUAACUAUGCACGUCUUGACGGUACCUAAUCAGAAAGCCACGGCUAACUACGUG